UGGCGGCGUGCCUAACACAUGCAAGUCGAACGGAGUACAGAGAGCUUGCUUUUGUACUUAGUGGCGGACGGGUGAGUAAUGCGUGAGCAACCUGCCUUCAGAGGGGGGACAACAGUUGGAAACGACUGCUAAUACCGCAUAAUGUAGCGUGAGGGCAUCCUCGUGCUACCAAAGGAGCAAUCCGCUGAAAGAUGGGCUCACGUCUGAUUAGCUAGUUGGUGGGGUAACGGCUCACCAAGGCUGCGAUCAGUAGCCGGACUGAGAGGUUGAACGGCCACAUUGGGACUGAGAUACGGCCCAGACUCCUACGGGAGGCAGCAGUGGGGAAUAUUGGGCAAUGGGCGAAAGCCUGAACCCCAGCAACGCCGCGUGAAGGAAGAAGGUCUUCGGAUUGUAACUUCUUUUAUGAGGGACGAAGGACGUGACGGUACCUCAUGAAUAAGCCACGGCUAACUACGUGCCAGCCGCAGC
rnacentral:rRNA from 1 species